rnacentral:rRNA from 1 species
AAAGGGUCCGCAGGCGGAUUUAUAAGUCAGUGGUGAAAUCCUAUCGCUUAACGAUAGAACUGCCAUUGAUACUGUAAGUCUUGAAUUCGGUCGGAGUGGGCGGAAUGUGUAGUGUAGCGGUGAAAUGCAUAGAUAUUACACAGAACACCGAUAGCGAAGGCAGCUCACUAGGCCUGAAUUGACGCUCAGGGACGAAAGCGUGGGGAUCAAACAGGAUUAGAUACCCGGGU